GGUUCUUCGACGAGGAAGAGUAGAUGGAGACAAAUUUCGUGUAAAUUGAGGGUUGAUGGAGCUAAACAUCCGGAUGAAUCUGAAGAAGCUGAUGGGCUAGAGGAUGUGGAGAGGGCCCUUUCACUUGGAUGGCGCCAUUCCUGGGACUUCGAAUGAGUUCGUCAAUCAGGUGUCUUCUCGUGCUUACGAUAUGCGAAGAUAUCUUCAACAAUUGUUUGAUAGCAGCAGCAAUGACGUAUUGGAGGCCAACCCAUGCAGAGAAGCCUCAUAGCCUGUAUAUGUACGAACCCACAGAGAAAACUCAAAGAAAUCGCAGCGAGGUUGAAAGGGAGUGUGGGCUGCUAUUUUCCUAUGGAGGAAAGUGGAGGCCUGAAAUGGGAAAUCAAGCUAAACAGUCCAGAAUGGGGACAAAGUUCCAGAUUAUUGUGGAAGAUAUUAGGGAGGGCGUGCUUGUAAGUGUUUAUUUCUAUUAGUUGCUUCUUGACUUGGUUUUUCG
rnacentral:misc_RNA from 1 species